GAACGUGAAAUGUAGCAAUACAGAGUAAAGUGGCGUACGGGUGAGUAAUACGUAGGUAAUCUACCUAAGUGUCUGGAAUAACCGGCCGAAAGGCUGGCUAAUACUGGAUAGAGCGACGGGACUCGUAAUUGGGUCUUUCGGGAAAGGGAGCUCGCAAGAGCCUUCGCACUUAGAUGAGCCUGCGUCUGAUUAGCUAGUUGGCGGGGUAACGGCCCACCAAGGCGAUGAUCGGUAGCUGGUCUGAGAGGAUGAUCAGCCACACUGGAACUGAAACACGGUCCAGACUCCUACGGGAGGCAGCAGUGGGGAAUCUUGCGCAAUGGGCGAAAGCCUGACGCAGCCACGCCGCGUGAGUGAAGAAGGCCUUCGGGUUGUAAAGCUCUGUCGGAGGGGACGAAAACUAUUAACGUUAAUAGCGUUAGGAAUUGACGGUACCCUCAAAGGAAGCACCGGCUAACUUCGUG
rnacentral:rRNA from 1 species